rnacentral:lncRNA from 1 species
AUGAGUCCUGGUUGGUAUUGUGUGUUCAUUUUUCUGAAACAAAAGUUGCCCAUUAGAAGUAGCAAAAUUGAGUUUGUAUGCUCUUUAAUGGCCUUUUUUACAGCCAGGAAGACCUUGUUUUUCAGGCCUCGGGAAACUGUUGAUAGAAUGAAAGAGGUCAGAACUGUGACUGGAUCUGGUGGACCAGUGAGUCAUCCAUCACCCAUUCACAACCGUAUCCCGGAUGGAAGAGAGAUGGGAGUGAAUGCAUUUAAUGAGGUGUUCUGUAAACACUGCAAACGCGUAAGGUACAGCCCUUCUCUCAGCGACAUCUUUCCAAUCGAACUCCAGGAAGCCUUUGAGAUUUCCUUCAAUGACUGGAUUUCAUUUCAGUCAUUAGUUAACCCUGCCUAGCGGGUGACCAUGAAUCCCACCAUGCAGAAGUAAACUCAUGACUAUCAUGGUCAGAGAUUGCUCUGAGAAGGCAAAUACUAGAGUUCCUACAAUAG